ACAAGGAGGGGACAAGGAGCGGGGGGAUACCGUAUACACCACCAUGUUAGUUCUAACAAAAAUGGAUUUGCUGACUUAAUAAUGGAAAUGCUCAAGGCCAAAGCAAGUUUGAAAUAACGCGGUUUCACCUAUAACACUGAGAUUUUUUGGCUCCCGAGGACCGCGUUAUAUCGGGGUAGAGGUGUGUGCGCGCGCGCGUGUGCGCGCACAAAACAAGUCCAACAUGGGCAGUGGUAACAAAAACUUUCUCCCACACUGCUCUGGAGAGAGUUCUCUCCAUGCUGCACAUGCAGUUCUUGAUCUCUUCUGUUGGGACUGCCAACGAAUCUGUCUAAAUUCAUUAAUUCUGUUUAUUUAAAAAGGUCAUUGCUCAUAACAGAGAACAAAUCACUAGUUCUGUGUAGCAGCACUGGGAAUUUCAGCCAUGCAUUUACAUUCAGUUGCAUGUAGCCCUUAAAAGUCAAUGCUCAUUUAUAACAAGCUUUCAGUACAUUUCUAUGCAUCAAUUUUUAGGUUCUGUGGUUAAUGCUGUGCAAUUGCUAUAUGCAAUUUCAAGUCACCCUCUCUUGUUCCCCGAAGCUGACCAGAUCUGUGUUUGACCUUUAGGCUCUGGGUACAGUGGCAGUGACAGAGAGCACCUUGCAUUGCUUAACGCUGCCUCAUCUCGCAAACUGUGGUCCAGACAGACUCUGAAGGGACAGGGUUAAUACUAUGCAGGUCUUUGGCUGGAACAAUCUCCCUAGCAUUUGGAAUUUAAAGCACUGAUUAUUGAAAUCAGCUCCUUACUGAGAGGCUUGUAUCAGAGAAUUCCUUGACCAAAUAACCACCUUGCACCAUUAACUCUUCCUCUGGUCCUAACAUGGCAUGGUAAUAUUAAGGUGGGAUGGUAGCGCCAGGAUUUCCAUUUCAAUAGAGGUUCAAAAGGUCUACAAAAUUCUGUCUUUUGGUUGCUUGAUUUUCCCAUAGCAGUUCAUGGAGGGGAAAUGUCGGGUGAGGUUUGCUUGACUGUUUCAAAACUGGCCAUGUGACUAACAUUUUUCUAGUGUCCAACAUUUCCUUCACACCCUUUCCCACCCGCCGCCCCCCGCAAAAAACCCCAACUACAUCACUUUGAGGGGUGAAACUCAACAGGUGUGAAUGCUUGGUUUUUGUAGAUUGGAUGAAUUGCUGUAGAAAGUUUUUUUGUGUGUUUAUUUUUAUAAUAAGCAUAUGUUACUGUUGACUGCCUAAUGUGAUCCUAGGAUACUGUCAUCAAAAUUGAUCUUACACCUGUCCUUCGUAUAUGGAUCCCUGAGCGUUUCCCCAAUGAUCAGGAACCUCUUUGAUCAUGCUGACAUGAGAGUUGCAGCUAUUUGCCUUAACAUCAAACAACAACAAAAAAUCACUCACUCCUAGUGUUCUGGAAACAGUGGCAUCAACUUAUUUUCUUCCAAUUUUUUGGCUCGUUUGACAAUAGUUCAAGGGGAGGAAGUGACAAGAGGUAACAGUGACCGGCUCAGCCUAUGAUCUAAGCACUAUCAUUCCUUCAUCAAUAUUGGUAGUUCCUGUGGGCCCACAUCUGCAGAACAACAACAACAACAUGGAGGAAUGCUGUUAGACUCCCAACUUCAACUGUUCAAAACAAUGAUCAAGAUUUUCUUGUCCAAACAAUCUCUCUCACAUGUGAGGAAGAUUACUGAAGAUUCUACUCACAUUUACCAUUCCUGCUCCUUGAAAUGGCACAAAUUGUGAAGUAUUAAAAUGUUGAUAUGACAAGCUACAUAAUAUCUACUUUUUUUUUUUUUUUUUUUUAAAAGAACAUGCUACAUACCUGUGUGUGUUUAUUUAGGACAGGUUAUUUGCCAUCGAGUCAAAAGGGAUUGUAAAAGGAAAGG